AAAGGCUGUCACCAUUUGACCAAAAGGGAGGACCAGGACAGAAGGAGCAUAAGUCAAUGGUUUUCUUUAGUGUGCUGCCAGCAGAAUCAGAAUCACCUAGAAGCUGGGGACAUGGAUGGAGUUGGAAGCCAUUAUCCUCAGGAAACUCAUGCAAGAACAGAAAACCAAACACCACAUGUUCUCACUUAUAAGUGGGAGCUGAAUGAUGAGAACAUAUGGAUGCAUCAGGAGGAACAACACACACUGGGGCCUGUUGGGGGAUGGGAGGAGGAAAAGCAUCAGGAAUAAUAGCUAAUGGAUUCUGGGCUUAAAACCUAGGUGAUGGGUUGAUCUAUGCAGCAAACCACCAGGGCACACAUUUACCUAUGGAACAAACCUGUGCAGACUGCACAUGUACCCCGAACUUAAAAUAAAAGUUGAAGUUGAAAAAAAAAGAAAAAGUUUGUCAACCCUUUAACCCCUGACCAAAGGGAAAAAGAAUAAAAGAAGGUAGCAAAAAUUAGGAGAGAGCUGACUCAUAAUUCUAAAUGAUGUAAGAAUUCGAAACAAAACAAUCCCAACAAUUAUUCUAAAUAAAAUAAUUCUAAAUAAUAAGUAUAGUAACAUAAUAGCAAAUUUUUAUUGAUCUCUUAUGAUGUCCUACGUCCUGUUUUAGUCACUUUAAUUGUAUUAACUCGCUUAAUCUUUAUAACUUCCAUCCAUUUUAUAAAUAAGAAAACUGACACAAAUUGUCCAAAUGAAAUGGAUUGUUUUUUUUUUAAUAUAAACCCAAGAAGUUCUGUCCUCAGAGCUCGUGCCGUUUAUCAUUACCCAAGACUACCUGCCUCUUGAGAAAAAGUGAAUCUCUUCAGUUAAACUAUGCAGAUGUUUGCUAAUAUUUGCUACUGUGCUUGUUCUUUUUGGGAAGGCGAUUCCACAUAAUUUCGUCAGAACUCCUUUGUGUGAAGAUAGAAUCCAGCCACCAUCCUAUCCUCAUUAUGACACUGUCAUUACAACUAAGACAUCAGAGUGGACAUUCACCUCUUUUCAAGAAACAUUUUCAUCUACUGACUCUAUGUGGAAGUCAAAGAGCUAACUAUGAUUUAUGUUCUUCAUUCCAUUUCCUGAAACUUUGAUGUGCAGGUUAAAGACUGUUUCUAUCUGAACUGUUUUAUGGGAAAAGCUAACUUGACCUAACUACAUGAACCUCUGGAGUCUGGGUAACCUGACUUUUUCACAAAGCAACUGAUAUUUGCAUGUUGGGUUUUAUUUUUAAUUUGUCAUGGUUCUUGGAGACUGCUCUGAAUGUUCAAUUAUAUUUUUAAUUUCA